rnacentral:rRNA from 1 species
CAGCCGCCGCGGUAAUACAGAGGGUGCGAGCGUUAAUCGGAUUUACUGGGCGUAAAGCGCGCGUAGGCGGUUACUCAAGUCAGAGGUGAAAGCCCGGGGCUCAACCCCGGAACUGCCUUUGAAACUAGGUGACUAGAAUCUUGGAGAGGUCAGUGGAAUUCCGAGUGUAGAGGUGAAAUUCGUAGAUAUUCGGAAGAACACCAGUGGCGAAGGCGACUGACUGGACAAGUAUUGACGCUGAGGUGCGAAAGCGUGGGGAGCAAACAGGAUUAGAUACCCGGGUAGUCCCUGUCUCUUAUAC